rnacentral:ncRNA from 1 species
GUUAACUCGUUGAGGGUAGUAUCUAGUCGGGAUAAACUACGGCAUCGGAACUAAAAGAGAGUUAACCUUAUACUAAGUAGCUCAUAGAAUAAUCGGUAGAGGCCGGUAGCGAAAGUAUAAUGAUCUCCCAAGAUGUGGGCAAGCCUAGCUAGGGAGGUAUCGAAAACUGUUUGUUGAAGUGGCGUAAUUCUCCCUAUGUAAGCUCCCUUACUAAAAGUAAUACAUAAAGAAUUAUGAAAGUUGGGCAGUAUAAAAAUAAUGACCUGUUGCAAAUAACGGAUUAUCCUCGAAAUCGAGCCGUAUGGUCAGACAGACAACUUUAGGGUUAUAUAGAUAGUGCAAUGAGAUAUAACCUAGUAACUUAAAGUUAC